rnacentral:rRNA from 1 species
AUGCAGUCGAGCGCCCCGCAAGGGGAGCGGCAGACGGGUGAGUAACGCGUGGGAAUCUACCCUUUUCUACGGAAUAACGCAGGGAAACUUGUGCUAAUACCGUAUAAGCCCUUCGGGGGAAAGAUUUAUCGGGAAAGGAUGAGCCCGCGUUGGAUUAGCUAGUUGGUGGGGUAAAGGCCUACCAAGGCGACGAUCCAUAGCUGGUCUGAGAGGAUGAUCAGCCACAUUGGGACUGAGACACGGCCCAAACUCCUACGGGAGGCAGCAGUGGGGAAUAUUGGACAAUGGGCGCAAGCCUGAUCCAGCCAUGCCGCGUGAGUGAUGAAGGCCCUAGGGUUGUAAAGCUCUUUCACCGGUGAAGAUAAUGACGGUAACCGGAGAAGAAGCCCCGGCUAACUUCGUGCCAGCAGCCGCGGUAAUACGAAGGGGGCUAGCGUUGUUCGGAAUUACUGGGCGUAAAGCGCACGUAGGCGGACAUUUAAGUCAGGGGUGAAAUCCCGGGGCUCAACCCCGGAACUGCCUUUGAUACUGGGUGUCUAGAGUAUGGAAGAGGUGAGUGGAAUUCCGAGUGUAGAGGUGAAAUUCGUAGAUAUUCGGAGGAACACCAGUGGCGAAGGCGGCUCACUGGUCCAUUACUGACGCUGAGGUGCGAAAGCGUGGGGAGCAACAGGAUUAGAUACCCUGGUAGUCCACGCCGUAACGAUGAAUGUUAGCCGUCGGGCAGUUUACUGUUCGGUGGCGCAGCUAACGCAUUAAACAUUCCGCCUGGGGAGUACGUCGCAGAUUAAAC